rnacentral:rRNA from 1 species
CCUACGGGAGGCAGCAGCAAGGAAUUUUGCGCAAUGGGCGAAAGCCUGACGCAGCAACGCCGCGUGGGGGAUUAAGGCCUUCGGGUCGUAAACCCCCUUUCUCAGGGAAGAAUAAUGACGGUACCUGAGGAAUAAGUCGUGGCUAACUACGUGCCAGCAGCCGCGGUAAU